rnacentral:rRNA from 1 species
GUUUACGGCCAUACCAACCUGAAAACUCCCGCUCUCGUCUGAUCUCGGAAGCUAAGCAGGGUCGGGCCUGGUUAGUACUUGGAUGGGAGACCGCCUGGGAAUACCAGGUGCUGUAAGCU